UUUGUUUCCAGUUUAAAGAAAAAGAAAACAUUUUUCUUGAUUUACUACUGAAUUUCAGCAAUGAUUCAUCUAUAUUCUCACAAGGUGUAAUCUUACAUCAACUCCUUAACUCAUUUUCUCCAUUUUACAGUGUUUGUUUUUCUUCUUCUUUGGGCCUAGCAGUAGAGCCAGACAUGUGUGCAUGUGGAUCCAGGAUAUUUGAUAGCAUGCAGAAACAGUUGCCUGUGGUCAAGCCCACUCAUGAACGUUGCCCCGUUAAAGAAAAACAGAUUCAGCAUCAUGGCUUCAAAGGCACAGAGCUGGGACACAUGUCGCAUCAAACGCACCGAUGUCCGAUUCUGUCUGUUCAGAGGAAGGGUUCAAUUAACAACAACAAACUGAAGUGUUACAAAUUCUUGGAUCUGUAGAAAGUUUUAAGUGAGACGGAAACGGUGCGUCGCCUCCUCAACGUGAUUUUUAUCCCAUCGGAUCAGAAGUAUGUUGGUUUAUGUUAUGUUAUAUUUAGGCUGUGUUUGUACUCACUUUGUUUUGACACGAAACAAUGACGUAAAAUGACUCGGGGGAAGGGAGGGCUUGUUUUUUAUGCUCUACGCACACUAAGCUGCAGAUCCUCAAAUAUUUUGGCACAGCAUUGUGUGUUGUUCUCCUACAUUUCACAUGAUAAUUUCCUUUUAAAUAAAAUAAAGACAAACAUAACACUAA